CCAGACUCCUACGGGAGGCAGCAGUGAGGAAUAUUGGUCAAUGGGCGGGAGCCUGAACCAGCCAAGCCGCGUGAGGGAAGAAGGUACAGCGUAUCGUAAACCUCUUUUGUCAGGGAACAAAGGCGGGGACUAGUCCCCGGAUGAGGGUACCUGAAGAAAAAGCAUCGGCUAACUCCGUGCCAGCAGCCGCGGUAAUACGGAGGAUGCGAGCGUUAUCCGGAUUUAUUGGGUUUAAAGGGUGCGCAGGCGGAGGCACAAGUCAGCGGUAAAAGCGCGGGGCUCAACCCCGCUCCGCCGUUGAAACUGUGUCCCUUGAGUGCGCGAAGGGUAGGCGGAAUGCGUGGUGUAGCGGUGAAAUGCAUAGAUAUCACGCAGAACUCCGAUUGCGAAGGCAGCGCACCGGCGCCCUACUGACGCUCAGGCACGAAAGCGUGGGUAUCGAACAGGAUUAGAUACCCGUGUAC
rnacentral:rRNA from 1 species